rnacentral:rRNA from 1 species
GUCUACGGCCAUACCACCCUGAAUGCACCUGAUCUGGUCUAAUCUCAGAAGCUGGGCAGGGUUGGGCCUGGUUAGUACCUGGAUGGG